rnacentral:rRNA from 1 species
AUGGAUGCCGACCACGCUCAUCUGGGUCUUCCCGUUGCUGCUGCCACUGAUGAGCACGGCCUUGCCUCCGCUGGUGCACCGGUAUGGGAGAUCGAGGACGGUGGCACUGUGGCAAGCGUCGACGAUGGCGUGGAGCUUGGCGCCGUGCACGAGGGGGCGGACGAUGGCCUGGUUGAUCUCGUCGUCCAGGAUGGGGCCCUGCUGGAACGAGUCCACGGGACAGAUGGCCUCGUCCAUGCCGUCCCGCUCGUCGCCGUCGCAGUCAGGGACCUGCGCGCCGGCGCCAGAGAACUGGAACACGAGGGAGUCGCCGGAGCUGCACCCCUGCAUCAGCCAGUGCAUGGCCAUGCGGAUGUUGGCCUUGGUCGGCUGCCUGCACGGGUCCCUCUCCUCAUCUACACCAACAAGCACGUACGUCUAAGCAAAAGAAAUCAUCUGCUCACCUCAAACAAGAAAAGAUGUUGGAUUGGUACCGGUGAGGAUGAGGACGCAGUCGUUGGCGAAGCCGAAGCGCUCGGUGAGGAGGUACCUCAUGCACUUGACGUCGUUGAUGGGGCCCCUCAGCUCGCAGGCACGCGUCUUGGUGUACUUGAUACCGACGAGCACGGCGCGCUUCUUGCCGCGGCCACCGCCAAAGUUCGGGAUGGGGCGCAUCACACUGAGCUGUCGGCCAGCCCCGCUCACGCGGGUCACGCAGCAGCACUGCGCGCACUGGACGGCACGGGCGCCGGCAGGCGCGGCGACGCUGGCGCUGCACUGCCUGCAGCGCACCAUCGUCGCCGGAGCGGGACCCCUUCCGCAGUUCAUGGCUGCCGAGCUACCGGGGGGUGGUCGGGUUCGUUAGCUUACUGGGUGAGCGCUGCUUGCUUGCUUGCACUGCCUCAGCCCCUGGCUCCUCCUGCCCUUUAUAUAGCGCCUGGAUCAAAUAAUGAUGGCAUGGUGAUACCGGUGCACUAG